GAUGAACGCUGGCGGCGUGCCUAAUACAUGCAAGUCGAGCGAACAGACGAGGCGCUUGCUCCUCUGACGUUAGCGGCGGACGGGUGAGUAACACGUGGAUAACCUCCCUAUAAGACUGGGAUAACUUCGGGAAACCGGCGCUAAUACCGGAUAAUAUAUUGAACCGCAUGGUUCAAUAGUGAAAGACGGUUUUGCUGUCACUUAUAGAUGGAUCCGCGCCGCAUUAGCUAGUUGGUAAGGUAACGGCUUACCAAGGCAACGAUGCGUAGCCGACCUGAGAGGGUGAUCGGCCACACUGGAACUGAGACACGGUCCAGACUCCUACGGGAGGCAGCAGUAGGGAAUCUUCCGCAAAGGGCGAAAGCCUGACGGAGCAACGCCGCGUGAGUGAUGAAGGUCUUCGGAUCGUAAAACUCUGUUAUUAGGGAAGAACAAAUGUGUAAGUAACUAUGCACGUCUUGACGGUACCUAAUCAGAAAGCCACGGCUAACUACGUG
rnacentral:rRNA from 1 species